AGGAGCAACAGCCCUAGUGGCGGGGCCAGCUCUGCAGCCCUGGAUUCAGCCCCCGCAGGAACUCCGGAGCUCUCCGUCUGCAGGGCCUGGAGGCUCCGGGGCGGG
rnacentral:pre_miRNA from 1 species